rnacentral:lncRNA from 1 species
CUCUCUUUCACUCUUUCACUAUUCCUCAUAAAAAAUAGGGCUCUUGGGGUCUACUGAGAGAAAUGACCACCAGCACAUGAUCGGCGGCUGAGCGAGAAGAUGGAAGCAAAAGAGUGAGCCAACACCACCGCUAUGCCCACCUUCACCUGGCCCCUCUUGGGAAUCGGACGGCCAGAAAACCUCGAGGACGGAGACAAGCCUCCGCCGUUGAUCAUAGCAACACUCCUAGCACCUGCCAUCUAUCUUCUUCUUUUUUCUUUCCCUUGAUGAUCUUUUCGAAGAUCCAAAUUCGGACAGCGAAGGUUGUUGGGAGUAGUAGUAGUGAUGAGUCUCUUUUAGUUGUGG